UAGGGAUCUAUCCAUGGGUGGGGGAUAACAUCGGGAAACUGGUGCUAAUACCGCAUGAUACCUGAGGGUCAAAGGCGCAAGUCGCCUGUGGAGGAGCCUGCGUUCGAUUAGCUUGUUGGUGGGGUAAAGGCCUACCAAGGCGAUGAUCGAUAGCUGGUCUGAGAGGAUGAUCAGCCACACUGGGACUGAGACACGGCCCAGACUCCUACGGGAGGCAGCAGUGGGGAAUAUUGGACAAUGGGCGAAAGCCUGAUCCAGCAAUGCCGCGUGUGUGAAGAAGGUCUUCGGAUUGUAAAGCACUUUCGACGGGGACGAUGAUGACGGUACCCGUAGAAGAAGCCCCGGCUAACUUCGUGCCAGCAGCCGCGGUAAUACGAAGGGGGCUAGCGUUGCUCGGAAUGACUGGGCGUAAAGGGCGCGUAGGCGGUUUACACAGUCAGAUGUGAAAUUCCAGGGCUUAACCUUGGGGCUGCAUUUGAUACGUGUAGACUAGAGUGUGAGAGAGGGUUGUGGAAUUCCCAGUGUAGAGGUGAAAUUCGUAGAUAUUGGGAAGAACACCGGUGGCGAAGGCGGCAACCUGGCUCAUUACUGACGCUGAGGCGCGAAAGCGUGGGGGGCAAACAGGAUUAGAUACCCUGGUAGUCCACGCUGUAAACGAUGUGUGCUGGAUGUUGGGUAACUUAGUUAC
rnacentral:rRNA from 1 species